rnacentral:rRNA from 1 species
AUUGAACGCUGGCGGCAGGCUUAACACAUGCAAGUCGAGCGGAGAUGAGGUGCUUGCACCUUAUCUUAGCGGCGGACGGGUGAGUAUGCUUAGGAAUCUGCCUAUUAGUGGGGGACAACAUUCCGAAAGGAAUGCUAAUACCGCAUACGUCCUACGGGAGAAAGCAGGGGAUCUUCGGACCUUGCGCUAAUAGAUGAGCAUAAGUCGGAUUAGCUAGUUGGUGGGGUAAAGGCCUACCAAGGCGACGAUCUGUAGCGGGUCUGAGAGGAUGAUCCGCCACACUGGGACUGAGACACGGCCCAGACUCCUACGGGAGGCAGCAGUGGGGAAUAUUGGACAAUGGGGGGAACCCUGAUCCAGCCAUGCCGCGUGUGUGAAGAAGGCCUUAUGGUUGUAAAGCACUUUAAGCGAGGAGGAGGCUACUGAGACUAAUACUCUUGGAUAGUGGACGUUACUCGCAGAAUAAGCACCGGCUAACUCUGUGCCAGCCGCCGCGGUAAUAC